rnacentral:rRNA from 1 species
AGCCUGAUGCAGCCAUGCCGCGUGUGUGAAGAAGGCCUUCGGGUUGUAAAGCACUUUCAGUCGUGAGGAAGGCGGGUACGUUAAUAGCGUAUUCGUUUGACGUUAGCGACAGAAGAAGCACCGGCUAACUCCGUGCCAGCAGCCGCGGUAAUACGGAGGGUGCGAGCGUUAAUCGGAAUUACUGGGCGUAAAGCGCAUGCAGGUGGUUCGUUAAGUCAGAUGUGAAAGCCCGGGGCUCAACCUCGGAACAGCAUUUGAAACUGGCGGACUAGAGUACUGUAGAGGGGGGUAGAAUUUCAGGUGUAGCGGUGAAAUGCGUAGAGAUCUGAAGGAAUACCGGUGGCGAAGGCGGCCCCCUGGACAGAUACUGACACUCAGAUGCGAAAGCGUGGGGAGCAAACAGGAUUAGAUACCCUGGUAGUCCACGCCGUAAACGAUGUCUACUUGGAGGUUGUGGCCUUGAGCCGUGGCUUUCGGAGCUAACGCGUUAAGUAGACCGCCUG